UACGAAGGGGGCUAGCGUUGCUCGGAAUUACUGGGCGUAAAGGGUGCGUAGGCGGUCCUAUAAGUAUGGUGUGAAAUCUCCCGGCUUAACUGGGAGGGUGCGCUAUAGACUGUGGGACUAGAGUGUGGGAGAGGAAAGUGGAAUUCCUGGUGUAGCGGUGAGAUGCGUAGAGAUCUGGAAGAACACCAAAGGCGAAGGCAGCAUCCUGGGAAGUUCCUGACGCUCGGGUGCGAAAGCCAGGGGAGCGAACGGG
rnacentral:rRNA from 1 species